rnacentral:rRNA from 1 species
GACGAACGCUGGCGGCGUGCUUAACACAUGCAAGUCGAACGGAAAGGCCUGCUUUCCCUUGUGGAUUGCGGGUACUCGAGUGGCGAACGGGUGAGUAACACGUGAGUGAUCUGCCCCCAACUUGGGUAUAAGCCUGGGAAACUGGGUCUAAUUCCCGAUAGGACUGCAGGGUGGUGCCUGUGGUGGAAAACGAUUUUCUAGUGGUUGGGGAUGAGCUCGCGGCCUAUCAGCUUGUUGGUGGGGUAAUGGCCUACCAAGGCGGCGACGGGUAGCCGGCCUGGGAGGGUGGACGGCGACAUUGGGACUGAGAUACGGCCCAGACUGCUACGGGAGGCAGCAGUGGGGAAUAUUGGACGAUGGGCGGAAGCCUGAUGCAGCGACGCCGCGUGGGGGAUGACGGCCUUCGGGUUGUAAACUCCUUUCGACCGCGAGGAAGCCACCUGGUUGGAAGGGUGGUGACGGUAGUGGUAGAAGAAGCACCGGCUAACUACGUG